rnacentral:rRNA from 1 species
CCUACGGGUGGCAGCAGUGAGGAAUAUUGGUCAAUGGACGAGAGUCUGAACCAGCCAAGUAGCGUGAAGGAUGACUGCCCUAUGGGUUGUAAACUUCUUUUAUAUGGGAAUAAAACGUUCCACGUGUGGGAUUUUGUAUGUACCAUAUGAAUAAGGAUCGGCUAACUCCGUGCCAGCAGCCGCGGUAAUAGGGAGGAUCCGAGCGUUAUCCGGAUUUAUUGGGUUUAAAGGGAGCGUAGGUGGAUUGUUAAGUCAGUUGUGAAAGUUUGCGGCUCAACCGUAAAAUUGCAGUUAAAACUGGCAGUCUUGAGUACAGUAGAGGUGGGCGGAAUUCGUGGUGUAGCGGUGAAAUGCUUAGAUAUCACGAAGAACUCCGAUUGCGAAGGCAGUUCACUGGACUGCAACUGACACUGAGGCUCGAAGGUGUGGGUAUCAAACAGGAUUAGAUACCCUAGUAGUC